AGAGAGAGAUACCUGCAGUCCUGCUUUACCACUCGCAAAGCUUUCCCCUUGCAGGUGGGGACUGGGAGCUUGAACCCAGGUCCUUGUGCACUAUAACAUGUACGCUCAACCAGGGCAACAAAAGGGGAAAUAAAUUAAAAAAUACGUGUUGCAGAAUAUUCUCUAGGAUUAAUACAGUGUUGACUAGUUGCAAUUUGUGAAAGCCAUCUUCUCAUGUUUCUAAAUUCAGUAUGGUGUCUGUAGCUGAGAUGAUUAGUUACGUUACUCAGUGGUACGUUACUGGUUUGUUGGUAUGUAAUGAGAAAAUUGAGUUGUUGCAAGAUCUCAUACAUCUUUUUCCUUCUCCAGUGUUUGUGAAAUCAAGUCAUUUAUAAAGAGAAAACAGGCUGGGGGUAGAUAGCAUAAUGGUUAUGCAAAGAGACUCUUCUGCCUGAGGCUCCGAAGUCCCAGGUUCAGUCCCCUGCACUACCAUAAACCAGAGCUGAGUAGUGCUGUGGUAAAUAAAUAAAGAGAAAACAAAAAGUACUUGGGUUUGAUAAUAUCUCAGUGACUUUUUCCCUUGUUCUUAGUUUGAUUCCUCUGCAGAUCUUCCCCCCCUUUCCCUAUUACCCGGUUUAGGGCAGCCUAGCCUUCCUGCAGAUCCAACUGAGACAGUCUGGGCUUGUAAUCCUUUUUAGUUUCCAUCAUUACUGCUCUCUGUGUAGCAUCAGCUGUUUACGCUGCACUCCCAUCUCAUUAAAACUUAU